rnacentral:rRNA from 1 species
UACGUAGGAGGCAAGCGUUGUCCGGAAUUACUGGGUGUAAAGCGCGUGUAGGUGGGAGGCCAAGUCUGUGGUGAAAGCGCCCGGCUCAACUGGGCAGAGUCCAUGGAAACUGGUCACCUGGAGGACGGUAGAGGCGAGUGGAAUUCCCGGUGUAGUGGUGAAAUGCGUAGAGAUCGGGAGGAACACCAGUGGCGAAGGCGGCUCGCUGGGCCGGUCCUGACACUGAGACGCGAAGGCGUGGGGAGCGAACAGG